UGUAACAGACAUACAUCUUUGUUAUUUUCUAUCCCUUCUCGUCAUCCAUGGCGAGGCAUUCCACAAGUGACCUACGUCGUUAGAUGGCGCAUCAUUUUUUUUUUCUUUCUCUUUUUUAAAUACCGGACUGUUCUCACUAGGAUAAACUCGGCUGGAAAUAAUUCGACCUAGACCUCUUGAAAAAAUAAAAUCAUGAACCCUUCAGAAACGAACAGGGAAAGAAACAGCCCCAAGACGCUUUAAAGGAAAACCUGACAUCGUGUCCAAAGAUAAAUUUGAUGAAAUAGGCGUUAAAAAUCUCCCGUGGAGUUCCACAAUUAACAUGUCUUGGCCGACAAAAGAACGUAGGCACAAGUCAUUAUAAUCAUCUGAUUUGGGUUUUCUUUUUCUGCUUUUACUUCAACCUUUGGUAGCAAUAUUUAGAACUAUUUGCAUCUUUGAAUUCAAGUUAAAUAUUUCCAUAAUUCAAGAAGCCUAAGAAUCAGUAGAACAGCUUGCUGUGGAUCACACAUUUGAGCAAAACCUUUAAAAGUUGCAAACGAUUAAGGAGAGAUAGUGGAUGCUAACCAGACCGAUGAUGUUUUCUGAAACUAGCCUUUUUUUUCCCCACACAAACCUAGGACUGUAAGCUAUAUGGGAAAAGAAUAGAAUCAGUGGCAUACCUCUCUCAAAGGAACUUUGCAGGCAAUAAUCGGGACUCCUCGGAUUUCCUGUCCAAUUGAUAUAUAGUCCAGCCAUCUAGAUACAAAAACAACAAAACAUAAUGUAACAGUUAAUACAAAUGAAUCCAAGCUUUAUAAAUUAUCGCAAUGCUUUAGAUCUAUUUAUUAAUUUUAGUAAAUCUGAUUAUGCACAAACCUGUCAGGCAA